rnacentral:rRNA from 1 species
UGCCAGACUCCUACGGGAGGCAGCAGUGGGGAAUAUUGCACAAUGGGGGAAACCCUGAUGCAGCAACGCCGCGUGAGUGAAGAAGUAUUUCGGUAUGUAAAGCUCUAUCAGCAGGGAAGAAGAUGACGGUACCUGACCAAGAAGCCCCGGCUAACUACGUGCCAGCAGCCGCGGUAAUACGUAGGGGGCAAGCGUUAUCCGGAAUCACUGGGUGUAAAGGGAGCGUAGACGGCUGUGCAAGCCUGAAGUGAAAGGCGGGGGCCCAACCCCCGGACUGCUUUGGGAACUGUACGGCUGGAGUGCAGGAGAGGUAAGUGGAAUUCCUAGUGUAGCGGUGAAAUGCGUAGAUAUUAGGAGGAACACCAGUGGCGAAGGCGGCUUACUGGACUGUAACUGACGUUGAGGCUCGAAAGCGUGGGGAGCACACAGGAUUAGAUACCCGAGUAC